rnacentral:rRNA from 1 species
CCUACGGGAGGCAGCAGUCGGGAAUAUUGGGCAAUGGGGGGAACCCUGAUCCAGCGACGCCGCGUGUGUGAAGAAGUAUUUCGGUUUGUAAAGCUCUUUCAGCAGGGAAGAAAGAAAUGACGGUACCUGACUAAGAAGCCCCGGCUAACUACGUGCCAGCAGCCGCGGUAAUACGUAGGGGGCAAGCGUUCUCCGGAUUUACUGGGUGUAAAGGGAGCGUAGACGGCAAGGCAAGUCUGAAGUGAAAGCCGUGGGCCCAACCCGCGGACUGCAUUUGACACUGUAUGGCUUGAGUGCAGGAGAGGUAAGUGGAAUUCCUAGUGUAGCGGUGAAAUGCGUAGAUAUUAGGAGGAACACCAGUGGCGAAGGCGGCUUACUGGACUGUAACUGACGUUGAGGCACGAAAGCGGGGGGAGCAAACAGGAUUAGAUACCCGGGUAGUC